rnacentral:rRNA from 1 species
GAUGAACGCUGGCGGCGUGCCUAAUACAUGCAAGUCGAGCGAACAGAUGAGGAGCUUGCUCCUCUGACGUUAGCGGCGGACGGGUGAGUAACACGUGGAUAACCUACCUAUAAGACUGGGAUAACAUCGGGAAACCGGAGCUAAUACCGGAUAAUAUAUUGAACCGCAUGGUUCAAUAGUGAAAGACGGUUUUGCUGUCACUUAUAGAUGGAUCCGCGCCGCAUUAGCUAGUUGGUAAGGUAACGGCUUACCAAGGCAACGAUGCGUAGCCGACCUGAGAGGGUGAUCGGCCACACUGGAACUGAGACACGGUCCAGACUCCUACGGGAGGCAGCAGUAGGGAAUCUUCCGCAAUGGGCGAAAGCCUGACGGAGCAACGCCGCGUGAGUGAUGAAGGUCUUCGGAUCGUAAAACUCUGUUAUUGGGGAAGAACAAAUGUGUAAGUAACUAUGCACGUCUUGACGGUACCUAAUCAGAAAGCCACGGCUAACUACGUG